AGGCUCCCUGCUGAGCAGAAAGCCCGAUGUGGGGCUUGAACCCAGGACCUGGGAUCAUGACCUGAGCUGAAGGCAGCGGCUUAACCCACUGAGCCACCCAGGCGCCCCCAGUUGCCCCCAUUUUUAUAAUGAUGUAACAGUAAUGUACCUUGUGCUACCUUAAAAUUACUUGUUUUGAAUUCUUUUCCUUAGGACCAUAUCUCUAUGUUGAAUUCUACAGAUAAUACGUUAGCCUAAAAUUUCCUGUAGUACUUUUUAAGUAAUAUGAUUCAGAUGAUAUUAGAAAAAAAGAUUCUGGGGUCGCCUGGGUGGCUCAGUCAUUGAGCGUCUGCCUUCUGCUUGGGUCAUGAUCCUAGAGUCCUGGGAUCGAGGCCCGCAAUGGGCUCCCUGCUCUGCGGGAGGCCUGAUUCUCCCUCUCCCAUUCCUCCUGCCUGUGUUCCCUCUCUGUGUCUCUGUCAAAUAAAUAAAUCUUUAAAAAAAAAAAAAAAGAUUCUGUGGUUAAACCAGCUUAUAAAUGGUGGCAUAUUUCAAUGACUUUUUGAAGCAAUAAGUUCAUUUUAUUUUAUCAGGGCUAUAAUAAAUAUUUUAGUAAAGGAAUUUCUCGAAACUUUAACCCCUCAUAUGCCAGACUUACUUGACCAUGAAUCCCUUCUUAUAAUGCCUAUUAAUAUCUUUUGCAUGUGAACUAUUUUUGUAAAUGCUGCUCUAGCUACAAAAAAUAACCACAGAGGUGGAAACUCUAGACAUUAUAGCUGGAGGCCAACUGAGUUUAUGAAAGGGCAAGUUGCUUUCUCUAAACCAAUCCCAUUCUUUUUCUACAGAUAGGACCUUGUCCUCUUAAAAAAGGGACUUGUCCUCUUAAAAAAGGGAAAUUCCUCUGUGUAACAAUCUUCCUUCACAGUCUCUUCUUACUCUUCCCUCUACCCCAAUUCUUAGUUCAACUUAAUGAGAUAUUAAAAACAAACACAAAAACAAAACAGGUUUGUGAAAUCUUAAAGGCCUGGUAAUGAAAUAAAUGUCUUUAUCAUUGAUAUAGUUACGCCAUAAAUAAAGUUCUAGAAUUGGAGAUUCUUUUCUAAGAUGAAUUUUAUAACAAAUACAAGAAUAAAGAUUGUCAAGUGGGCCAUUAUGUCAUUACUUUGUCUCUACUUCUAAUAGUGUUUUACUUAUUCUCAAAAGAAAAGUUAGAAAUUAAGUGUAUUUUUAUGUAGCUUUUUUUUCAUAUUUGAAUUACCCUUCUGAAAUUACAUAAUGCAUUUCCUGCAAAACAGGAAAUUAUAGCAAAUAUACAUAUAAUCUAACUUCCUGGGGCACCUCGGUGGCGCAGUUAAGCCUCUGCCUUAGGUUCAGGUCAUGAUCCCAGUGUCCUGGGAUCAAGCCCCAUGUCCCUUCGGGCUCCCUUCUCACUGUGGAAUCUGCUUAUCUCUUUCCUUCUGUCCCUUGCUUGUGUUCUCUCUCAAAUAAAUAAAAUCUUUAAAAAAAAGAAAAUCUGACUUCCUAAACUAAACCUAAUGAGUACUUUUGUAGCUUUUUGUUUAAAUGUACAUUUUUAUGUUUGUAUAUUUGUAUGUUUAUACAUGGGUUUUUUUCUUGGUUGUGAAUAUUUAUAUAUUUAAACAGGGUCACUGUAUGGACAUCAGUCUGCAACUUUCCUGCAACAUACAUAAUGGACAUCUUUCCAGCUGUUCAACUUUGAAAGAUACACAGAGGUUGGAUCAAGUUUAAAUGACUGUGCUGCCCCUUUUCACAUCAAAGAACUACUGACAAUGAAGGUGCCUGCCUCUCCCAUCUGCCAGUCCAGUCCAGCUGUCAGGGAGGAAAAAUAACUUGCAUGUUAAUGUAGGAAGAAGCUGGGUGGGAUGACAGUGAAAUCUAGAGUUAAAACAAAGCCGGUCCAUGGUGUCCUGUAAGCUGUAAAAUCCAAUUUAAUCAGAGUGCCAAUUUUUUUUUGUUCAAAUGAUUUUAAUUAUUGGAAUGCACAAUUUUUUAAAUAUGCAAUAAAAUUUUUAAAACCU